UGAGUUGUGGUGUAAUUGGCAACACGAAACCUUUUGGUGGCUUUAACAUCAGUUCAAAUCUGAUCAACUCAG
rnacentral:tRNA from 3 species